UACGUAGGGUGCAAGCGUUGUCCGGAAUUAUUGGGCGUAAAGAGCUCGUAGGCGGCUCAUUGCGUCAACCGUGAAAACUUGUGGCUCAACUACAAGCUUGCGGUUGAUACGGGUGGGCUGGAGUUCGGUAGGGGAGACUGGAAUUCCUGGUGUAGCGGUGAAAUGCGCAGAUAUCAGGAGGAACACCGGUGGCGAAGGCGGGUCUCUGGGCCGAUACUGACGCUGAGGAGCGAAAGCGUGGGGAGCGAACAGG
rnacentral:rRNA from 1 species